rfam:Schistosoma curassoni strain Dakar, Senegal genome assembly, scaffold: SCTD_contig0008395
AUCAAGCUGAUGAUUCCCAAAUAAGACGAAACGCGAGUCCUGGAU